rnacentral:sRNA from 1 species
CUAGUAUUUAUAUGGCAGGAUGAUGCCAGGCAACACAAGAUCUCCAAACUGUCUUAAAUUUCCUAUUUACAUUGUAUAGUGUACAUUUUUGACAAAUAGACAGGCACAAUUUAUUACAUUACCCAAGUGAUUCUUUUUCAGUCAGUUUAGAGAUAAGAGAGGGAUGCUAGUUGAGGUGUUUAUUUGCACAUUCGCAGCAUCAUUAGCUGAGCUGUGUAUUGAAGAGAAUGCUAGAAACCAUGUAUCAUAUCCACUCUGAAGUCGGAUACUAUUCAUUUUGAGAAGAGGCAAAGCGAUUUUAC